rnacentral:piRNA from 1 species
UAUCACGGAAAGGUAAGGCACUUACUUGGC